rnacentral:rRNA from 1 species
UACGGGGGGAGCAAGCGUUGUUCGGAUUUACUGGGCUUAAAGGGCGCGUAGGCGGCCAGCACAAUCCAGUUGUGAAAUCUCCGGGCUUAACUCGGAAAGGUCAACUGAUACUGCCGGGCUAGAGUCCGGAAGAGGCGAGUGGAAUUCCUGGUGUAGCGGUGGAAUGCGCAGAUAUCAGGAGGAACACCAAUAGCGAAGGCAGCUCGCUGGGACGGUACUGACGCUAAGGCGCGAAAGCGUGGGGAGCGAACAGG